UACGUAGGGUGCGAGCGUUGUCCGGAAUUAUUGGGCGUAAAGGGCUCGUAGGCGGUUUGUCGCGUCGGGAGUGAAAUCCUACGGCUUAACUGUGGGCUUGCUUUCGAUACGGGCAGACUAGAGGUAUGCAGGGGAGAACGGAAUUCCUGGUGUAGCGGUGAAAUGCGCAGAUAUCAGGAGGAACACCGGUGGCGAAGGCGGUUCUCUGGGCAUGAUCUGACGCUGAGGCGCGAAAGCGUGGGGAGCAAACAGG
rnacentral:rRNA from 1 species